rnacentral:rRNA from 1 species
UACGUAGGUGACAAGCGUUGUCCGGAUUUACUGGGCGUAAAGAGCGCGCAGGCGGUCGUUCAAGUCGAGUGUGAAAGCCCCCGGCUCAACUGGGGAGGGUCAUUCGAUACUGAUCGACUCGAAGGCAGGAGAGGGUAGUGGAAUUCCCGGUGUAGUGGUGAAAUGCGUAGAUAUCGGGAGGAACACCAGUGGCGAAGGCGACUACCUGGCCUGU